UCACACACCCAGGAGCUUCACCUGGCCAGUGGGAACAUCAGCUCCCUGGAACUGUCAGCAACUGUUGUUCCUCUCCAUCUUCCCACAGAGCCAGUAUGUUUUGUUCCUGACAAUUAAAUGUACCUGCUUUUGACUCAGCCUUUCCAUUUUCCAGCAGAUCCUACUCAGGUCAUUCAGGAACAAUGUUAGCCAGGAACAGAAUUACCAUUCCACAUGGAAGUACAGGCAGGACUACACAGCAUACUGACCAAAUGGGAUCAAUAGAGAAAACCUGCAGAAGGUCAGACGAGCAAACAACAUGAAGAAAAACAGGCUGAAGAGUAAAACACACAGCAUCCCAACACAGUCUCCAAGUUCUUCAAAGAAGCUUGAUACUGAAGCUGACAAGACCACAAAAUGAGAACAACCUUGUUUUCAAGAGAGCACUUGGUAACAAGAGACACAAGCCUGCUAUGGCAAAAGUAGAACUUUCUCCACGUCCCUGAGCAAGCAUAAGGAACAUCGAAUGCUCUUAAUGCUGCUCCAAACACGUUUCUCUCACAGGUAAAACAAUACGGGCUUAGUACUUACUAGAAUACUGAAAGUCACCUAGCUACCCAGGGAUGAGAGUCGUUGCAUGGGAAAGAAGAUAAAGACUCUCCUACAAAUACCUCUAAGAAAGCAGUGAUUUGUUCCUUCAAAGGAAACACUGCUCCUUUAAUUGCAUGGCAUGUCCCAUGGCUCCUUUAAUCUGCA